rnacentral:rRNA from 1 species
GGGUCAGUAGGUUGGUCGUGCCACCGGUACGUACUGGUCUCACUGAUUCCUCCUUCCUGAAGAACCGUAAUGCCAUUAAUUUGGUGUUGCGGGAAACAGGACUGUUACUUUGAAAAAAUUAGAGUGUUUAAAGCAAGCUAACGCUUGAAUACAUUAGCAUGGAAUAAUGAAAUAGGACGAUCGAUCCUAUUUUGUUGGCUUCUAGGAUUGACGUA